rnacentral:lncRNA from 1 species
GUACAAAUAAGGAUGGUGAUGAAAAGGAAGGAAGAAAUAUUGCUGGAGACUGUCAAAAGAUGGUGAUAGAGUGAUGGAGUAGAUAGGAAAUGAGAGACGACAUAAAGGAUUUGCCAUCUUAGUUGUUUUUAAGCCACCAGACACUACCGUCAAACAUGUGUACAUUCGUCACUGCUUAAACAUCAUCACCACGUGUACCUGCAACACUCCAUUUCUCAGAACUUCCUUCCUCUUCUCUUCCUAGCCCUUGACAACAUCCUACUUUCUGUUUUUAAAUUCUUCACUGUUUAAUGUGUGUCACGCAAAUAAAAU